rnacentral:rRNA from 1 species
UGGAGAGUUUGAUCCUGGCUCAGAGUGAACGCUGGCGGCGUGCUUAACACAUGCAAGUCGAACGAUGAUUAAGAGCUUGCUCUUAUGAUUAGUGGCGCACGGGUGAGUAAUGUAUAGCUAACGUGCCCCAUAGAGGGGGAUAACAGUUGGAAACGACUGCUAAUACCCCAUACUCCUUCUUCCUAUAAGGGAAGUCGGGAAAGUUUUUUCGCUAUGGGAUCGGGCUAUAUGAUAUCAGCUUGUUGGUGAGGUAACGGCUCACCAAGGCUAUGACAUCUAACUGGUCUGAGAGGAUGAUCAGUCACACUGGAACUGAGACACGGUCCAGACUCCUACGGGAGGCAGCAGUGGGGAAUAUUACACAAUGGAGGAAACUCUGAUGUAGCAACGCCGCGUGGAGGAUGACACAUUUCGGUGCGUAAACUCCUUUUAUACAGGAAGAUAAUGACGGUACUGUAUGAAUAAGCUCCGGCUAACUCC